AGAACUCUGACCAUUGAGCCGCGUGAGGGAUGAAGGCCUCGGGUUGUAAACCUCUUUCAGCAGGCAAUAAGCGAAAGUGAAGGUACCUGCAGAAGAAGCACCGGCUAACUAUGUGCCAGCAGCCGCGGUAAUACAUAGGGUGCAAGCGUUGUCCGGAAUUAUUGGGCGUAAAGAGCUCGUAGGUGGUCGAUCACGUCGGAUGUGAAAAUCUGAGGCUUAACCUCAGACCUGCAUUCGAUACGGGUUGACUGGAGUGUGGUAGGGGAGACUGGAAUUCCUGGUGUAGCGGUGGAAUGCGCAGAUAUCAGGAGGAACACCGAUGGCGAAGGCAGGUCUCUGGGCCAUUACUGACACUGAGGAGCGAAAGCGUGGGGAGCGAACAGGAUUAGAUACCCUGGUAGUCCACGCCGUAAACGGUGGGCGCUAGUUGUGGGAACCUUCCACGGUUUCUGCGACGCAGCUAACGCAUUAAGCGCCCCGCCUGGGGAGUACGGUCGCAAGACUAAAACUCAAAGAACUGACGGGACCCGCAAAGCAGCGGAGGCAUGCGGCUUAUUCGACGCAAGCGAAGAACCUUACC
rnacentral:rRNA from 1 species